rnacentral:rRNA from 1 species
GGGAUGAAGGCCUUCGGGUUGUAAACCUCUUUUCUUGGGGAAGAAUUCUGACGGUACCCGAGGAAUAAGCCUCGGCCAACUACGUGCCAGCAGCCGCGGUAAUACGUAGGAGGCGAACGUUAUUCGGAUUUACUGGGCGUAAAGGGAGCGUAGGCGGUUCCUUAAGUCGGAUGUGAAAUCUUCCGGCUCAAUCGGAAGGGGUCAUUUGAUACUGGGGGGCUUGAGAGCAGCAGAGGGAAAUGGAAUCCCCGGUGUAGCGGUGAAAUGCGUAGAUAUUGGGGAGAACACCAGUGGCGAAGGCGAUUUCCCGGGUUGUUUCUGACGCUGAGGCUCGAAAGCGUGGGGAGCGAAGCGGAUUAGAUACCCGGGUAGUCCACGCCCUAAACGGUGGACACUAGAUAUGGGAGGUAUCGACCCUUUCUGUGUCGAAGCUAACGCUUUAAGUGUCCCGCC